UUUUUUAAGUUUUAUUUACUUAUGUGAUCUCUACACCCUACGUGGGGCUCGAACUCACGACCCUGACAUGAAGAGUUGCACGCUCCUCCGACUGCGCCAGCCAGGCGCCCCUAGAAAAAUACA